GGAGAGUCUGGGCUCUGAAUAUCCUGGUUAUAGAGCCUGGAUUUAACAGGAUUGAAAUCUAAUUUACAACACAGGCUCUGUAAGUAAAUCCCAGUGACUUGUCCCAGGUGAGAUGGUGCCAGCCUCCUCCCAGCUCCUCCUCCAGGGAAGGACGAGCAUUUCAUGUGGCAGUAGAGCAAAUCUUACUCUUUGCUGAAUGACUUGGCCUCCAGCCAGGCUUUGAUUUCUUCAGUGCUGGAUUCAAAGCAGCUCGUCGUUCAGCUCAUCCAUUUGGUGAAUAAGUUCUGUAGAAACAGAUCUGUGAGAAUCUACAAUUGGAGAGUUGGGAUUGAGACCUUUUCAGUCCUCUCUGCUACUUUUAGUCAGUGAUUUGCAGAUCCCAGAGCUGCAGAUUUUGCUCCACAGCGGAAGAGAAGCGUCAGGAAUCACAAACUGGGAGUGAGGAACACGCUCAUGAUGAGAUGAGCUUGAAGGUCCCUUCCAGCCCAGGCCAUCCUGUGAUUCUGGGAAAACUCCAGUGACACUUCAUCCAGUGUCACUUUCCCUCUGAAACUCCUGAGGACUGUGGAGAAUAACUCGGUGUUAGGAACAGGUUCGUGCCCAGCAGGGGAUGAGCAGGGCAUGACAGGGAGUUGCUGUCCUCCCUCCUCACUGUGGUUAAGAUGGGACUGAUGUGGUUGAGCUGAGGAAGUGACACAGCCCAGCACUGGCAGCCUGUUCCAGCUUUGGAUUUGAGCAAAGCUCCAUGUCACUGCUAGACACCACCAGGGAAAAUGGAGUUGGUGCUUGCUGGUAUCCUGAGCUCUCUCCUGCAAAUCUCCUGGGCACAGCCACUCCCUGGGCCUCAAAAUUCCUGCAGGAGAGAAAAACUGAGUUUUAGUGGAGGCCUAUCUUAAAAUGGAACCAAAUGUGGGUUCACUGGUGGAACAGGAAUGGUGGUGGCCGGGAGUUUGCGUUUGGAGGGGCAGAGUCCCUCUGCUUCUCUUUUCAGGAAGAUUUUCAGCCCUUGUUUCAGUGAAAUCCUCUGGGGCUGGGAAUAAGCAAACAAACCAAAGCUGUUGGGGUUUGAUAUGGGGCCUUCCUGGGGGGCUGUGAGGCAGCUCCUGGAAGGGUGGAAGGAAAUGCUGCUUUAGGGCCUGGGGGGCUGACACAGCAGGACCCAAAGGCUCUGAUUGCAGUUUCCAGGAAAGAUGAGGUCUAAAACCCUCCCUGUCCUGCCCAGUGGAAACAACUGCUACAGAUGCCACAGCAGGGAGCAACUGGGGAAGGUGGAAUUGAAAAUCUAAGCAGGCAAAACACACUGGAAAUCUGUGGGGGUUUUAUCAGGCAAUGCUGAGCUGCUGGCACAGAAUUCUGCAGGUUCCCAGAAAAAGUGGGUUUGGAUGUUUCUAUGCUAAGAUGUAUUUGGGCACAGGGGAAGAGAAAUGCAUCAAUGUGUUAGCUUGGGACACCAGAAUAUAUGGUUCUCAAAGUUGAAUUGGCUUUUUGUUUGAAGAGAGACAAAAUGAAUAUGGUAGAUUGUUGAAAAUGGUGAAAAAGUGGAAUGAAAGGUUCUUUUUGACCCAAACUGAAAAGUUUUGCUUUGGUUUUUUUUUUGGUUUUUUUUUUUUUGUUUUGU